rnacentral:rRNA from 1 species
GGGCCCGCACAAGCGGUGGAGCAUGUGGUUUAAUUCGAUGAUACGCGAGGAACCUUACCAGGGCUUAAAUGUAAGUUGCAUAGAUCAGAGAUGGUCUUUUCUUCGGACUACUUACAAGGUGCUGCAUGGUUGUCGUCAGCUCGUGCCGUGAGGUGUCAGGUUAAGUCCUAUAACGAGCGCAACCCCUGUCGUUAGUUGCCAGCAAGUUAAGUUGGGCACUCUAGCGAGACUGCCAGUGCAAACUGUGAGGAAGGUGGGGAUGACGUCAAAUCAUCACGGCCCUUACGUCCUGGGCUACACACGUGCUACAAUGGCAGUGACAAUGGGUUAAUCCCAAAAAGCUGUCUCAGUU